rnacentral:rRNA from 1 species
UGAGGAAUUUUGCGCAAUGGGAGCAAUCCUGACGCAGCAACGCCGCGUGGAUGAUGAAGGCCUUCGGGUCGUAAAGCCCUGUCAGGUGGGAAGAAUGUCCCGGGACUGAACAGGUUCCGGGAGUGACGGUACCACCAGAGGAAGCACCGGCUAACUCCGUGCCAGCAGCCGCGGUAAUACGGAGGGUGCGAGCGUUAUUCGGAAUUACUGGGCGUAAAGCGCGUGCAGGCGGGGAGGCAAGUCUGAUGUGAAAGCCCUGGGCUUAACCCGGGAAGUGCAUUGGAGACUGCUUUUCUUGAGUUCUGGAGAGGAAGGGAGAAUUCCCGGUGUAGAGGUGAAAUUCGUAGAGAUCGGGAGGAACAUCAGUGGCGAAGGCGCCCUACUGGACAGCAACUGACGCUGGGACGCGAAAGCGUGGGGAGCAAACA